rnacentral:rRNA from 1 species
GUGAGGAAUUUUCCGCAAUGGGCGAAAGCCUGACGGAGCAAUGCCGCGUGAAGGAUGAAGGCCUAUGGGUUGUAAACUUCUUUUCUCAGAAAAGAAUUAUGACGGUAUCUGAGGAAUAAGCAUCGGCUAACUCUGUGCCAGCAGCCGCGGUAAGACAGAGGAUGCAAGCGUUAUCCGGAAUGAUUGGGCGUAAAGCGUCUGUAGGUUGUUUAAAAAGUAUUCUGUCAAAGAUUAGGGCUUAACCCUAGAUAGGCAGAAUAAACUUUUAAGCUAGAGUUUGGUAGAGGCAGAGGGAAUUACCGGUGGAGCGGUGAAAUGCGUAGAUAUCGGGAGGAACACCAAAGGCGAAGGCACUCUGCUGGGCCAAUACUAACACUGAGAGACGAAAGCGAGGGGAGCAAAUGGGAUUAGAUACCCGAGUAGUCC